UAAAAAAUGUGCAGCAACAACAAAUUGACCGAUCAUACACUAUUUAAAGAAAUUAUUCAUGUGUUGCUAUAAGAGCAACUACUGUUGUGAAAAUGUGGAUGCAUGAGUAAAGGGUACCAUAUUGUUGCCUUAGUUAAAGAUUUGAAUUUGAGAGGGGGUGAGAAGUACAUGAUUUUACUGCCACUGAAUUUUGAGAUGACUAAUCUAACUAUUUGUUAGUAAUGAGACAAACAUGAUUAAUAUGAACUCGAGACACAUUAUUCGACAUCAAACAUGAUUAAUAUGAACUCGAGACACAUUAUUCGACAUAAGCCUUGGAUUAUUGAUCCGCGACGAUUAAUAUAAACUCGAGACAUUAUUUAUACUCACCUAUAUGUCAAGCCACCAAAUACUCAUGCUUAAAAGAAUAUCCAACAAAUUACAAAAUGGUAGUUCUCUAUGCAAAUACAAAUAGAGCUAUCAGUGGCAACUUCUAGAUACAGUACUAUUAAGUUCUAGAAAUCUAUAAGUUACUUUUCACAAAUCUUAGUUGAAUUAGCAAAACUUGAAUCAAAAUCUGAGAUUUUGUUGCUCUAAGUGCGUAUUUAUUGUUUUCAACAAUAUCAUCUCAUCGUGGAGAUAGCCAGGGCUAUGACCUUUUUUUUGUCUGGUCUUUGCAUUAGGCUCUUGAUAUGAACCCGUGGGGUUGAAUCCCAAUCUUUCAAUGAGAGAAUAUGGAUAACUCGAUUUGGGGAUAGAGACAACGUUCACAGCCCGACUACAACCAUCCAAGGAUGCUACGCCUUAGCAACCGAUACACCACCUCCAAUAGUCAUCGCGAUCUUGUAAAGCACAAUCAACCAAACUACUAGGGUAAUUCCUGCAAGCAAUCGAGAAACAAGUAGAACAAGCAACUCAAUUGCAAAUAUGGAGAUAAAAACCAAUCAAAAAUCACAAAUUUAGGGUUCUGAAUGGAGUAGAACGGAUGGUCUAGUCAACACACGCGUCUACAAGGAAAUAGCAAUGGCUAAAUUUACAUCUAAACAAAACCGGGGUCGUCCCACAACCCUAGGAUGCGUCCUUAAUGGAUCCAAUUUGAUACACGACCCAUUGGGCCAAAAUAAGGUGACGCGGCACCUUGGAUAGAAAAACCUCUUAGUAGUAAUUUGAUCAUUGUGGCCGCCUCAGAAAAGAUAGAGAUAUGAG
rnacentral:lncRNA from 1 species